rnacentral:tRNA from 1 species
UCUAGAAUGGCAGACAAAUGCAUAAGGUUUAAACCCUUAUUAUGAGCUAAAUAAUAAAGUUCUUCUAGGA